AGGCGCGGGCUUCUCCUUGCCACGCAGGCUUUGAAUGCCGCCGCCGUGGAUGGCGCUAAACCCCGCCGCCGUCCUCCACGCGGCGCUCCUCAGAGCUUCCUCCUCCGCUUCCUGCCUGCCCCCCAGCAUCACCUUCAACUCCCUCCUCGCGGCCUCCGCGUCCUCCCCGCUCCCGCGCCUCCGCGCCCUCGCCCUCUCGGCACUCGCGCUCGCCCACGCCGCCGGCAGCGUGCCGCUCGACUCCUACGCACUCUGCCCCGUGAUCCGCGCUGCCCCCUCCGCCGCCGAGAUGCUCCACGCGCUCGCGGCCAAGUCCGGCUGGCUCGGCAGCGUCUUCGUCUCUUGCGCGCUCGCCGCGUCCCACGGCGGGUCCGGCAGGUUCCUGGACGCCCGCAGGCUGUUCGAAGAAAGUCCGGCUAAGAACGGCGUCUUCGGGAACGCCGUCCUCGCCGCUUACGUGGGCGCGGCGGAGUGGAGGCAGGCGCUGGGGUUCGUGAGGAGGUUCCUGGAGCUACGGCUGCAGAUUAACGGGUUCAUGAUGACGGCCGUCGUGCGGGCAUGCGGCGAGGUGGCAAACGCUGAUCUUGGCGUCCAGGCGCAUGGGCAUGCAAUCAGGAAGUUGGGAGGUGUAGAGGCGGAUGUGUUCUUGGUCAGUGCGCUCGUGGACAUGUACGCCAAGUGUGGGCUUGUCCACCAAGCUGAGCGGGUGUUCGGCCUGGCGCAGCAAGAGAAUGGUGGCAGAGGUGAUGUUGUGCUGUGGACGGCUAUGUUAAAUGCAUAUGGGCGGCACGGGCAAUGCAAGGAGGUUAUCCGGAUGUAUGACCUGAUGGUGGCUUCUGGUAUCUAUCCUGAUGAACUGGCAAUGCUAGCGGUCCUCUCAGCGUGCCAGCAUGCUGGGGAGGUGGCCAAGGGGCUCAAGUACUUUGAGUUCAUGCACGAAGAUUACGGGUUGGUGCCCACACCAGAGCACUAUGGUUCUGUGGUCAACAUGCUGUGUCGAGCAGGGGAAGUGGCCAAGGCAUGGGAAAUUGCCACCAAGAAUGGCUGUGAUAGUGCAAUCGGCGUGUCUACAUGGGGUGCACUGCUCAGUGCUUGCCAAGAUUGCGGAAAUGUUGAGGUUGGGAAAAUGGCAGCUCAGAAGGCAAUCGAAUUGGAGCCUGCCAACGUCGGCAUUUACAUUCAACUGUCAAAUUUGUAUGCAAGGGCUUGUUUGUGGGAGGAGAUUGACCAGCUGCGGGAGUUGUUGAAGGAGAAAACGCUGGAAAAGGAUGUUGGAUCUACUUGGGUUGAGCAUGGUUCCUGAAAGAACUUUGAAAAUGCUUUGUGUUGCUAUAUGAUCCAACCAUUAUGAUUGGAGCAGAGGGAGGCAAUUCUUGUUAGCGAUAACCUACCACAUCCCACAGAACUGACUGUUUCCAGGACAAGAUUGGAAUUGUGUUCUUUCUUCGCUGUCAAACUUGAGAUAGUAUGGAGGAAUAAGUGAGAUCAACAGCGGCUGCAUUUUUUUGCAUGCCUGGGGUAACUUGAGAUGUAUCCCUGUGUGACAAUGCGCAAAUUGUUACUUACCGUUGUUUCAUGUAUAUACGAUACCAUCAUUAUGCUGCGACAACUAGACAUAUGCAAUGCAUUUUGACACAUUGCCAUGAACUUUUGACUGCAAUAUGAUGCUCUGGUAGCUGUAUAUUUGUAUUGAAGUGAACGUACGGUUAGCAUGGUUGCUGCUAUGUGACUACACUGGGUCCUGAAGGUACAAAACUCAGAAUGUGUUUACUUUUAUAACUCAGCCAGGGUAUCAAUGCUUUCUUAGAUUUCUCCAGAUUGUUAUUUCUUCCUAAUAUUUGUGAUCAUACCUGCAACUUUUAUGUUUGAAGUGGCUCUUACAAUCAAGAUUAGGCCCACUACACAAAACUGAGAAUUGCUAUGCCAACUAAAACUUUUUAGAAAAAUUGCAUUAUAAAUAUGAUGAGUUUACCUAGACAAAGCUAGUACCAAAAAGAUCAUCCUGCUCGCCCAAAUGAUUAAACAGAAUCACUGUUCCUUUUAAGAGAAAUGAGGAGAUACACAAGGAACUGAGUAUAUUCUUUUUAAUAAGGGGAACUUUUAAGGAGAAUGGAGGCUUGAAUCCAUGACCUUUAGAAGCUCUAUCUCUUGCUCUACCCCUAGGCUGCAUGUGUUCCUGAAAAGGUUAUUCUUUUUUGAUAAUUUGUUAUAAUCCAAAUAUUUGCGGUAGAAGAAUCUGAAGAGACCACCAUAAUUCUGGCAUAUAUCUCAAACACAAUUCUGGUGUAUGUCAGAACUGAAUUUACGUGAAAUACUGUGUUCGCCUCCCAGUGCUAUAUUUAGCAACUCAUGCUGUAUAUUGGGUAUGAAAAUACUAAUACCCGAAAGACAUAAAAACCAGGAGUAGGUAUCUCUCUUUUAGCAGCUGAAGCAUGAUUAUUCAAUUUGUCUUGCGCAAGCAAGAAAGCAUACUCAUGUGCCAAAAAGCAUGUCUGUUAUGAUCCUAAAGUGAGGUUCAGAUUACUGUAAAAAGUUCAGAUAAAGAUAAAGAGUGCCAUAACUUCUAGCUUUCUAUCUAUUUUACUCCUCACUGCUCUCUUGACAGAUAGAAUCCAGUUCUAUUUGGAAACUUCAAAAUUUUACAGAAAUCAGUAUUCACCUUCCUAGAUCUGAGAGACUUUCAGCGGGACCAUAUGCUGAAAAUUGUGUCCAUAACAUCUCACUGUUAGUGGAAACCCAGAAAAGAAAAUGGCCAGGAUGGCAAGCUUCCCUGAAGUGAUUCCUGCAGCUUCACAACCAGGCCAACUCUAACUUCACUUCCAGGGCAGGAAUCAAAUGGAGGGGCAGAAACAACCUUGGUAUGAUAACAAUGAAGGAAAAGAAUGCAUUCCAAGCUUGCGUGCCUUUUGUUCUGUGGAACUAUAUAAACACUGGCCCCCUUGCAUCUUGUAAGCACACACGGACACACUCUGGUUGCCCUUUUCUUGGACCAAAGAUGGGUGCCUCCUUCAGUGCCUUCAACAAAUUUGGACUCCCAGGGCUGAGCACGGCAACUACCAAGCAAGUUUAUGAACGACAUUUCAAGAACAAGAAGACUGGCAAGUUUGAGGAGUUCCAUAUUGCUUAUAUCGAGUUCUGCAAGUAUUUCAACACUGUAAUGCCCGGUCAAGAUUUCGACACUCCAUCACUCGAAAAGAUUCAGGAAUUUUAUGCGAAGGAGUGGGAGCCGGAGAAGAACGAGGAUACAAGGAAGGAAUUGUUUUUCAAGUUCAUGAAGGAGAAUGUCAAGGAAGCGACGGUGGACGACAGCUUCUUCAUCGCGGCAGGAAUCGCCGCACCUGUGGCGGCCGUCAUCGGCAAGAGGGCCAGCGGGCACAUCCCCUACGUCAAGAGCCUGAGGCUGGACAUGGUCCCCAACGUCGUCUUCGUGCCGGUGGUCACGCUCUUCGGCAUUAUGGGAGCCACCGCGUGGCAGAUGAGCAGCAAGAGCGCCGCGGCCAAGGAAGAGGAGGCCAAGGAAGACGAGAAGCGCGCAGCGGAGCAGCGCAAGGAUAAGGCGUCUUAGACAGUUGCCUUGUUUAUCUCUUGUACAUGCGUUGAAAAGCGAUAUGGAUGACUCAAUCAAUGACCAAGAUUUUUAUUUGGAACAUUUUAUGGUGCAUAAAUAAUCUCGUCGGUACAAAGUGUAAACUUGGGCGUGAAAAUAUAUAUUUUUAUUUCCUGCUGCUGUGAACACGAAUACUUUGAUCAA